GACUUGGUGGCUCAGCUGGUAGAGCCGUGGGACAGAAUCCCGAAGUUGUGAGUUCGAUCUUCACUCAGGUUC